CGGGCAGACCUGAAUGGUGAUGCUGGCUGAGGAAUUUUCCAGACGCCAUUUUCCCUUGCUUCACGGAGAGCAGCAACUGAUACUCAAGCAUUCAGCCUCCUUUUGCACCAGGAACAGCUGCCAAACUGCUUAAAAAGUGGCCGACUUUCUAAAAAUAAUAAAAACAAGCGGUGACUUCUCUUACGAGUGCUUAAACGUUUGCUGAAGCUUGCCAGAAACCAAUUGCCAUACAAUGCUGAAUCCUUGGAUGAGUGUCCAGGAGCCUAGAGGAACACUUUGAGAAUCACGAGGGACAACAGCAGCCAUACCUUCCUCAGGG